rnacentral:lncRNA from 1 species
UUUCUCCAUCUAGGAUCAUGAAAAAGAAAUCUGUCUGCUAGAAACAUUAGAGGUUUUAGAUCGCUACUUUAGUGGUCUAAAACAUCUUAUAUUAGUUUACAGAGGGAGUACUAUUCUGUAAUUGAUUGCUGAGAAUGACAAAUAAAGAUUAUCAAGCUGGGGAUAGCAGUAGCACAGUGAUGCUGAUGCUUUAGACAAGACUGACAUGAAAGAGCCAUCUUACAUUACACUACAUAAUCCUGAAGCACAUGAAAAUAAAGGGCAUGUCCAACCUGCUUGUAGGAUGCACAACUAGAACUUGAAACAAACAGCUGGAAUAGAAAGCUCCAAGUCAUAUGCACAUAAACCUGGGAAUAGUUUUGGUCUGAAACCAUAGUUUCAAUUUGGUUUUCCUGUUGGACUGCUUUGGUUUGGUUGAAAUGGGUUGAGCCUCUAUUGUAAUUUGGUUUGGUGUGGGCUUCUGUAAUUAAUAGAUUGGGUUAGUUUGGUCUGGACAGAGACAAAUUGGUCUCAUACCAUUUUAGUCCAUGGAUAAAAACCAGUCUAACGACCAGUUUGACCUCAUGUCACACAAGACUGGCACUAGGUUUGGGAGCAGCCGCAGCCGCAGCCGCAGAUGAGCGACAUGAGUGUGCGUUCACCUAGCCAACUCCUUCAUGCAGAACAUGAGGAGCCCAAAGCCGAGGCCUUGGACGAUGUUGUUGACAAUGGAGACUCGACCUUGCCGAUGUGGCCGACGAAGGCGACAGUGACGAAGCCGAUGAGGAACUGGAAGACCCCGGUCAAGAUCAUCGGCACAGUGAUCUGCCAAAGGGUCUUGCACAUAUCCGGCAAGGUCUUGCAGCCGGCGACGGGCCACCGUCUCCGCGGACGGCGCCACCAUCUGCUCUUCCGGUGCACGCACGGAGUACGUACACUGAAGCUCUUCAGACCAAGCACACACCAAGCUAGCCGCUGUUCGUACAUGCUUCAUGCGUUUCGUAGUUUUGCACGUACAGGUCAAGUUUGGGUUCCAAGUCCAACGUUCCAGUUGCUGCUGACUAAACCAUAGUUUGAAACUUUGGGUUCAAACCAUAUCUAGAAAAUGGUCUGGAUGGAUUUGGCUUGAAAAUAAAUACAGUUUGGAUUGGUUUGGAUUGUACCAUUUGCAAUCUGGUUUUGUUCGGCUUGAGCGCUGGACUUGUACAUGCAUGGGUUGGCCUGGGUUUAGUUUGGAUUACAAACUAUUCCCAGGUUUAUAUGCACAUAUGGCAUAUCUAUGGCAAAUUGCAGAUGUCUGAGACAAAACUGUUUGAACUGGAAGCUCUAAACCAUGGGGGUUAGCUAGCGGCAAUGUGCACACAUGCAUAUCCUUGGAAAUUUGCAAAUGUACAAUAGUUUUGUAAUCAGUUCUAGUACUUCAGGGAGAGACCAGAUGAGAAAACAUAGAUGUGUUACUUUCUAGUGCCCUGGUGCCUAUCAGCUACUACACUAAAAGAUACUGCAUCCAGUCUUGAACUUACAUAAAUCCUGUCUAACUCCGAUCCACCUUAUUAUUGAGCCCUCCAAUUCCAUCAA